UCCAUAUACAUUUCCACUCAUAAUGAGGUGGAACCAUUCGGCGAGUUAUGUCGGAAUACCUACCACCCUCGAAGAUAUACGGCUUCUAUUAGACCAACGAUCGGAAGUAGAAUUUCAAUGGACACCAUACGAGGAUCCGGUAAUUCG